rnacentral:rRNA from 1 species
ACGUAGGGGGCAAGCGUUAUCCGGAUUUACUGGGUGUAAAGGGAGCGUAGACGGCACGGCAAGCCAGAUGUGAAAGCCCGGGGCUCAACCCCGGGACUGCAUUUGGAACUGUUGGGCUAGAGUGUCGGAGAGGCAAGUGGAAUUCCUAGUGUAGCGGUGAAAUGCGUAGAUAUUAGGAGGAACACCAGUGGCGAAGGCGGCUUGCUGGACGAUGACUGACGUUGAGGCUCGAAAGCGUGGGGAGCAAACAG